rnacentral:tRNA from 1 species
GUCUCCGUGGUCUUGUGGUUAAGGAGUUGGCGUUCUAAGCCAAUGAACCAGGUUCGAAUACCGGCGGAGAUG